CAAUAGCGUAUAUUAAAGUUGUUGCAGUUAAAAAGCUCGUAGUUGGAUUUCUGAUCGAGACAUCAGGUCGGGUCCGAGAGGAUCAUGUACUUUGAUUUUGUUUUGAUCAUCCUUGGGGAGAGCAUUUCUGGCAUUCAGUUGUCGGGAUUGGGAUCCUCAUCGUUUACUGUGAAAAAAUUAGAGUGUUCAAAGCAGGCCUCGGCCUCUGAAUACAUUAGCAUGGAAUAAUAAGAUAGGACUUUGGUGGUCCAUUUUGUUGGUUUGCACGCCAAAGUAAUGAUUAAUAGGGAUAGUUGGGGGUAUUCGUAUUCAAUUGUCAGAGGUGAAAUUCUUGGAUUUAUGGAAGACGAACUACUGCGAAAGCAUUUACCAAGGAUGUUUUCAUUAA
rnacentral:rRNA from 1 species